ensembl:lncRNA LINC00661 long intergenic non-protein coding RNA 661
AGCAGUUGGGGCCUGGUCAGAGGGGAUACGGCAGCUGGGGGUUAUUUGGCAGGGAUGCAGCAGCUGGGACCUGGUAGGGCCCCGUCAUGACAGAGGCUGUGAACCCAUGCUGUCACUGUGCCAAGUGCCGCCAGCCUACCUCCGUGUCAUGGAGCAGUUGGAGACACAGAGGUGCUGUAAGUGGUUGUGCAGAAAGGACCCUUUUCUGGGUGAGAAGCACAUCUCAGCACCGCUGCCUGAUCAGACUCAGGAAAGCGUGACCUGCUCUCUUCCCCCCUGCUGACUUGGGGACAGUCACAACCAGGAUGGACGUGGAGGAAGACGUGGCUACCCUACUUGCACAGGAGCAGGGGGCAUCAUUGCCCAGUGUGAGCAGGGACGCUGUAGGGCCCAAGGAUGUGGACAGCUUACAAAGUUACCGAUCGCCUCGAGAUUCUGCAGUGAGUCCUCUGUCCCUGCUGCCCGACCAUCACCAAACUCACCUCAGAGGAUGAGUUUUGUUUUUAGAAAAGCCUCUCUGAGGCAGGACACGUCUUCCCAGCUU